GGGGCUAUAGCUCAGUUGGGAGAGCGCUUCGCUGGCAGUGAAGAGGUCAUCGGUUCGAACCCGAUUAGCUCCACCA
rnacentral:tRNA from 1 species